rnacentral:rRNA from 1 species
CCUACGGGUGGCUGCAGUGAGGAAUAUUGGUCAAUGGACGAGAGUCUGAACCAGCCAAGUAGCGUGAAGGAUGACUGCCCUAUGGGUUGUAAACUUCUUUUAUAUGGGAAUAAAAUGUUCCACGUGUGGGUUUUUGUAUGUACCUUAUGAAUAAGGAUCGGCUAACUCCGUGCCAGCAGCCGCGGUAAUACGGAGGAUCCGAGCGUUAUCCGGAUUUAUUGGGUUUAAAGGGAGCGUAGAUGGGUUGUUAAGUCAGUUGUGAAAGUUUGCGGCUCAACCGUAAAAUUGCAUUUGAUACUGGCAGCCUUGAGUAUAGUAGAGGUAGGCGGAAUUCGUGGUGUAGCGGUGAAAUGCUUAGAUAUCACGAAGAACUCCGAUUGCGAAGGCAGCCUACUGGACUGCAACUGACGUUGAUGCUCGAAAGUGUGGGUAUCAAACAGGAUUAGAUACCCGAGUAGUC